UUGAACUGGAGAGUUUGAUCCUGGCUCAGAUUGAACGCUGGCGGUAGGCCUAACACAUGCAAGUCGAACGGUAACGGACCGCUGGGAUCCCUUCGGGGUGACCUUGGUGCCGACGAGUGGCGGACGGGUGAGUAACAC
rnacentral:rRNA from 1 species